rnacentral:tRNA from 1 species
GGGCCCAUAGCUCAGUUGGGAGAGCGCUUGCAUGGCAUGCAAGAGGUCGUCGGUUCGAUCCCGAUUGGGUCCACCA